CCUACGGGUGGCAGCAGUGGGGAAUAUUGCACAAUGGGGGCAACCCUGAUGCAGCAACGCCGCGUGGGUGAAGAAGGAUUUCGGUACGUAAAGCUCUGUUAGUAGGGAAGAAAAUGACGUUAACUGACUAUGAAGCCCCGGAUAACUACGUACCAGCAGCCGCGGUAAUACGUAGGGGGCACGCGUUAUCCGGAUUUACUGGGUGUAACGGGGGCGUAGACGGCAAGGCAAGUCUGUAGUGAAAGCCCGUGGCCCAACCACGGGGCUGCAUUGGAAACUGGGUUGCUGGAGUGCAGGAGAGGAAAGCGGAAUUCCUGGUGUAGCGGUGAAAUGCGUAGAUAUUAGGAGGAACACCAGUGGCGAAGGCGACUUACUGGACUGUAACUGACGUUGAGGCUCGAAGGCGUGGGGAGCAAACAGGAUUAGAUACCCGUGUAGUC
rnacentral:rRNA from 1 species